rnacentral:rRNA from 1 species
UGGGGAAUCUUGCACAAUGGGGGAAACCCUGAUGCAGCGACGCCGCGUGAGCGAUGAAGCCCUUCGGGGUGUAAAGCUCUUUCGGCAGGGAAGAUGAUGACGGUACCUGCAGAAGCAGCUGCGGCUAACUACGUGCCAGCAGCCGCGGUAAUACGUAGGCAGCAAGCGUUGUUCGGAGUUACUGGGCGUAAAGGGUGUGUAGGCGGUCGAUCAAGUUUGGUGUGAAAUCUCCCGGCUCAACUGGGAGGGUGCGCCGAAUACUGAUGGACUCGAGUGCGGGAGAGGAAAGUGGAAUUCCUGGUGUAGCGGUGAAAUGCGUAGAUAUCAGGAGGAACACCGGUGGUGUAAACGGCUUUCUGGACCGUAACUGACGCUGAGACACGAAAGCGUGGGGAGCAAACA